rnacentral:rRNA from 1 species
UACGUAGGGGGCAAGCGUUAUCCGGAUUUACUGGGUGUAAAGGGAGCGUAGACGGCCAGACAAGUCAGAAGUGAAAGCCCAGGGCUCAACCCUGGGACUGCUUUUGAAACUGCCGGGCUGGAGUGCAGGAGAGGUAAGCGGAAUUCCUAGUGUAGCGGUGAAAUGCGUAGAUAUCACGCAGAACUCCGAUUGCGAAGGCAGCAUACCGGCGCCCGACUGACGCUGAAGCACGAAAGCGUGGGUAUCGAACAGG